UGCCAGCCGCCGCGGUAAUACGGAGGGUGCAAGCGUUAAUCGGAAUUACUGGGCGUAAAGCGCGCGUAGGUGGUCAAGUCAGUCAGAUGUGAAAGCCCUGGGCUCAACCUGGGAACUGCAUCUGAUACUGCUUGACUAGAGUAUGGUAGAGGGGUGUGGAAUUUCCUGUGUAGCGGUGAAAUGCGUAGAUAUAGGAAGGAACACCAGUGGCGAAGGCGACACCCUGGACCUUAUCUGACGCUAAGGGACGAAACCCUGGGUAGCGAAUGGGAUUAGAUA
rnacentral:rRNA from 1 species